GAAUUCUCUUGUGAAGUAUUCGGCUACCACCUUUCUCUCCCCUUUCCUUCACUUUCUCACCAACCAAACACUAUUAACGCUACUAUCUUUUCACUAAAAUACCAUUUUGAAGGCAAGCAAGGCUAAUGGAUACUUCUAAGGAGAGAUUUGUAGGAGGAUUUUCUGAAAUUAAAGGGAUUGCAGCAGAUCGAGGUACAGAUGAAUCUACUGAGGAGCUGAGUAAUGCUGAGGAGGGAGGGGUCGACAUUUAGUAGUCCCUGGGUAGUUUGGUUUCUUUCUGAUGACAAUAUAUGUUUCUUACGUUUUGAUACUAGACCCCACAUAGGGAUGUUUUAUUGAGUUAACUUCUAGACAAGAUACCUUUGGGUAUAAGUUAUAUUUUAUGGUGGGGUGAUGGAAACCCCUCCUGCUUUAAGUUAGUUUUCUUUUAUAAGGACUGUAGGGACUGAGUCACUUUUUGUUUAAAGUAGUUACGUUAAAUGAAUGGAUAACGGACUCUGAGAGUCCUUUGUAAAGGAA